rnacentral:rRNA from 1 species
GACGAACGCUGGCGGCGUGCUUAACACAUGCCAGUCGAACGGAAAGGCCCUGCUUUUGUGGGGUGCUCGAGUGGCGAACGGGUGAGUAACACGUGAGUAACCUGCCCUUGACUUUGGGAUAACUUCAGGAAACUGGGGCUAAUACCGGAUAGGAGCUCCUGCUGCAUGGUGGGGGUUGGAAAGUUUCGGCGGUUGGGGAUGGACUCGCGGCUUAUCAGCUUGUUGGUGGGGUAGUGGCUUACCAAGGCUUUGACGGGUAGCCGGCCUGAGAGGGUGACCGGCCACAUUGGGAUUGAGAUCGGGCCAGACUCCUACGGGAGGCAGCAGUGGGGAAUAUUGCACAAUGGGCGGAAGCCUGAUGCAGCAACGCCGCGUGCGGGAUGACGGCCUUCGGGUUGUAAACCGCUUUCGCCUGUGACGAAGCGUGAGUGACGGUAAUGGGUAAAGAAGCACCGGCUAACUACGUG